UACGUAGGGCGCAAGCGUUGUCCGGAAUUAUUGGGCGUAAAGAGCUCGUAGGCGGCCUGUUACGUCUGCUGUGAAAUCCCGGGGCUUAACCCCGGGCGUGCAGUGGAUACGGGCAGGCUUGAGUUCGGUAGGGGAGACUGGAAUUCCUGGUGUAGCGGUGAAAUGCGCAGAUAUCAGGAGGAACACCGGUGGCGAAGGCGGGUCUCUGGGCCGAUACUGACGCUGAGGAGCGAAAGCGUGGGGAGCGAACAGG
rnacentral:rRNA from 1 species